UACGUAGGCAGCGAGCGUUGUUCGGAGUUACUGGGCGUAAAGAGUGCGUAGGCGGUUUUCUAAGUUUGGUGUGAAAUCUCCCGGCUUAACUGGGAGGGUGCGCCGAAAACUGGAAGGCUUGAGUAUGGGAGAGGUAAGCGGAAUUCCUGGUGUAGCGGUGAAAUGCGUAGAUAUCGUAAGGAAGACCAGUGGCGAAGGCGGGUCUCUGGACAGUUCCUGACGCUGAGGCACGAAGGUCAGGGGAGCAAACGGG
rnacentral:rRNA from 1 species